CAAGAAGCCGAAAGGCUACUUAAAACCAUCGCGAACUUAUCCAAGUUGCUUCGGCGGCGCGGCUCCCCUCACGGGGGACCGCAGCCCCCGCCUCUCAGGAGGUAAGGGGCAGCCGCCGGAGGUACGAAACUCUGUAUUAUAGUGGUAUCCUCUGAGUAUAAAACAAAUAAGUUA
rnacentral:misc_RNA from 1 species